rnacentral:rRNA from 1 species
GGUCAAGCAAAGAAGGGCUAAUGGUGA